rnacentral:rRNA from 1 species
CAUAGCGACUAUCGUGGCAUAUCAAUAAGCGGAGGAAAAGAAACUAACAAGGAUUCCCUUAGUAACGGCGAGUGAAGCGGGAAGAGCUCAAAUUUGAAGUCUUCAAGGUUCUACCUUGACGAAUUGUAGUUUAUAGAAGUGUUUUCUGUUAGUAGAGUGGCAAAAGUUCUUUGGAAUAGGACAUCAUAGAGGGUGAGAAUCCCGUAUUUGGUACCGUUACUUUCCUAGCUGUGUGAUACACUUUCAAAGAGUCGGAUUGUUUGGGAAUGCAGUCCAAAAUGGGUGGUAAAUCUCAUCUAAAGCUAAAUAUUGGCGAGAGACCGAUAGCGAACAAGUACCGUGAGGGAAAGAUGAAAAGAACUUUGAAAAGAGAGUUAAACAGUACGUGAAAUUGUCAAAAGGGAAGCGUUUGACACCAGUGUUGUUUAGUUGAAAAUCAAUUCAAUAAUUUUUGAUUUUGAGUAGUAUUGACUUCAUCAGCUUGCUGCUUUCUUUUCCGAAAUUAUUGAAUGCACUUUUCAGUUAACAAGUCAACAUCAAUUUCUUUUGUUGUAAAAGGGUAAGAGGAAGGUGGCUUACGCUUCGGCGUAAGUGUUUAUAGCCUUUUACCUCUGCAAUCGGAGAGAUUGAGGACAGCAGCGUAGACUCCUUCGGGGGUUAGAUACACUUGUGCUAAGCUAUAGCCUUGUAUAGACAACUUGUUGACUAUGCUCAGUCAUGUAGCUUACUCGCUUGUGCUAUUUUACCUACGCUUAGGAUGUUGAUAGUCACAGCGUGUAC